rnacentral:rRNA from 1 species
UAGGGAAUUUUGGACAAUGGACGCAAGUCUGAUCCAGCCAUGCCGCGUGCGGGAAGAAGGCCUUCGGGUUGUAAACCGCUUUUGUCAGGGAAGAAACGAGUUUCUCUAAUACAGAGACUUAAUGACGGUACCUGAAGAAUAAGCACCGGCUAACUACGUGCCAGCAGCCGCGGUAAUACGUAGGGUGCAAGCGUUAAUCGGAAUUACUGGGCGUAAAGCGUGCGCAGGCGGUUAUGCAAGACAGAUGUGAAAUCCCCGGGCUCAACCUGGGACCUGCAUUUGUGACUGCAUAGCUAGAGUACGGCAGAGGGGGAUGGAAUUCCGCGUGUAGCAGUGAAAUGCGUAGAUAUGCGGAGGAACACCGAUGGCGAAGGCAAUCCCCUGGGCCUGUACUGACGCUCAUGCACGAAAGCGUGGGGAGCAAACA